CCUACGGGUGGCAGCAGUAGGGAAUCUUCCACAAUGGACGAAAGUCUGAUGGAGCAACGCCGCGUGAGUGAAGAAGGGUUUCGGCUCGUAAAGCUCUGUUGGUAGAGAAGAAAGAUAGAGGGAGUAACUGGCCUUUACUUGACGGUAAUUACGUAGAAAGUCACGGCUAACUCCGUGCCAGAAGCCGCGGUAAUACGUAGGGGGCAAGCGUUGUCCGGAUUUAUUGGGCGUAAAGCGAGUGCAGGCGGUUCAAUAAGUCUGAUGUGAAAGCCUUCGGCUCAACCUGAGAAUUGCAUCCGAAACUGUUGAACUUGAGUGCAGCAGAGGUGAUUGGACCUCCUUGUGUAGCGGUGCAAUUCUUAGAUAUCUGGAAGAACACCAUUGGCGACGGCGGCUCUCUGGUCUGCAACUGACGCUGAGGCUCGAAAGCCUGGGUAGCGAACAGGAUUAGAUACCCGUGUAGUC
rnacentral:rRNA from 1 species